rnacentral:rRNA from 1 species
AACGUAGGUGGCGAGCGUUAUCCGGAAUUAUUGGGCGUAAAGCGCGUGUAGGCGGCUUGGUAAGUCAGAUGUGAAAGCCCUCGGCUCAACCGAGGAAGUGCGUCUGAAACUGCUUGAGCUUGAGUGUCGGAGAGGAUGGCGGAAUUCCGCAAGUAGAGGUGAAAUUCGUAGAUAUGCGGAGGAACACCGGUGGCGAAGGCGGCCAUCUGGACGACAACUGACGCUGAGACGCGAAAGCGUGGGGAGCAAACAGG